UACGUAGGGUGCGAGCGUUUAAUCGGAAUUACUGGGCGUAAAGCGUGCGCAGGCGGUUCGUUGUGUCGGCGGUGAAAAGCCCCGGGGCUCAACCCUGGGGAAUGGCCGUUGAAACUGGCGAACUGGAGUGUGGCAGAGGGGGGUGGAAUUCCGCGUGUAGCAGUGAAAUGCGUAGAGAUGCGGAGGAACACCGAUGGCGAAGGCAGCCCCCUGGGCUGACACUGACGCUCAGGCACGGAAAGCGUGGGGAGCAAACAGG
rnacentral:rRNA from 1 species